AAAUUGAAGAGUUUGAUCAUGGCUCAGAUUGAACGCUGGCGGCAGGCCUAACACAUGCAAGUCGAACGGUAACAGGAAACAGCUUGCUGUUUCGCUGACGAGUGGCGGACGGGUGAGUAAUGUCUGGGAAACUGCCUGAUGGAGGGGGAUAACUACUGGAAACGGUAGCUAAUACCGCAUAACGUCGCAAGACCAAAGAGGGGGACCUUCGGGCCUCUUGCUAUCGGAUGUGCCCAGAUGGGAUUAGCUUGUUGGUGGGGUAACGGCUCACC
rnacentral:rRNA from 1 species